AAGACUAUAAUUUAGGGAUCAUUUCUGUAGUUUAUUACUAGGGAAAUUUCUCUGACUGUGCAGAGCAUCAGAAAACAUGAAGAGGAGGCAUAGUGUUCUCCCCUGAUGUAAAGUCAGCUCUCCAUGUUGCUUUGCUGCAACUGUCAUUCACCAUUGAAGAUCAUUCUUUCUCACCUUUGGGAGACUUAGAGGGAAAGAAUGAAGUCUGAAUG
ensembl:snoRNA U3 Small nucleolar RNA U3